rnacentral:rRNA from 1 species
UACGUGAGGGGCGAACGUUGUUCGGUGUCACUGGGCUUAAAGGGUGCGUAGGUGGUUGCGUAAGUAAGGUGUGAAAGCCCUCGGCUUACCCGGGGAAUUGCGCCUUAUACUGCGUGACUUGAGGAUUUCAGGGGAAUGGGGAACUCCAGGUGUAGCGGUGAAAUGCGCAGAUAUCUGGGGGAACACCGGUGGCGAAGGCGGCAUCCUGGACCAAUACUGACGCUGAGGAGCGAAAGCCAGGGGAGCAAACGGG